GCUGGGUUGGCUCAGUGGUUAGAGCGUAGGUCUCGUAACAGAAAGGUUGCGGGAUCGAAUCCCGCUAGAGGCU
rnacentral:tRNA from 1 species